rnacentral:rRNA from 1 species
GUUAUAUGGUCAAGUGAAGAAGCGCAUACGGUGGAUGCCUUGGCAGUCAGAGGCGAUGAAAGACGUGGUAGCCUGCGAAAAGCUUCGGGGAGUCGGCAAACAGACUUUGAUCCGGAGAUCUCUGAAUGGGGGAACCCACCUAGGAUAACCUAGGUAUCUUGUACUGAAUCCAUAGGUGCAAGAGGCGAACCAGGGGAACUGAAACAUCUAAGUACCCUGAGGAAAAGAAAUCAACCGAGAUUCCCUUAGUAGUGGCGAGCGAACGGGGAUUAGCCCUUAAGCUUCAUUGAUUUUAGCGGAACGCUCUGGAAAGUGCGGCCAUAGUGGGUGAUAGCCCCGUACGCGAAAGGAUCUUUGAAGUGAAAUCGAGUAGGACGGAGCACGAGAAACUUUGUCUGAACAUGGGGGGACCAUCCUCCAAGGCUAAAUACUACUGACUGACCGAUAGUGAACCAGUACCGUGAGGGAAAGGCGAAAAGAACCCGGAGAGGGGAGUGAAAUAGAACCUGAAACCGUAUGCGUACAAGCAGUGGGAGCCUACUUGUUAGGUGACUGCGUACCUUUUGUAUAAUGGGUCAGCGACUUAUAUUCAGUGGCAAGCUUAACCGUAUAGGGUAGGCGUAGCGAAAGCGAGUCUUAAUAGGGCGUUUAGUCGCUGGGUAUAGACCCGAAACCGGGCGAUCUAUCCAUGAGCAGGUUGAAGGUUAGGUAACACUGACUGGAGGACCGAACCCACUCCCGUUGAAAAGGUAGGGGAUGACUUGUGGAUCGGAGUGAAAGGCUAAUCAAGCUCGGAGAUAGCUGGUUCUCCUCGAAAGCUAUUUAGGUAGCGCCUCAUGUAUCACUCUGGGGGGUAGAGCACUGUUUCGGCUAGGGGGUCAUCCCGACUUACCAAACCGAUGCAAACUCCGAAUACCCAGAAGUGCCGAGCAUGGGAGACACACGGCGGGUGCUAACGUCCGUCGUGAAAAGGGAAACAACCCAGACCGCCAGCUAAGGUCCCAAAGUUGUGGUUAAGUGGUAAACGAUGUGGGAAGGCUUAGACAGCUAGGAGGUUGGCUUAGAAGCAGCCAUCCUUUAAAGAAAGCGUAAUAGCUCACUAGUCGAGUCGGCCUGCGCGGAAGAUGUAACGGGGCUCAAACCACACACCGAAGCUGCGGGUGUCACGUAAGUGACGCGGUAGAGGAGCGUUCUGUAAGCCUGUGAAGGUGAGUUGAGAAGCUUGCUGGAGGUAUCAGAAGUGCGAAUGCUGACAUGAGUAACGACAAUGGGUGUGAAAAACACCCACGCCGAAAGACCAAGGGUUCCUGCGCAACGUUAAUCGACGCAGGGUUAGUCGGUUCCUAAGGCGAGGCUGAAAAGCGUAGUCGAUGGGAAACAGGUUAAUAUUCCUGUACUUCUGGUUACUGCGAUGGAGGGACGGAGAAGGCUAGGCCAGCUUGGCGUUGGUUGUCCAAGUUUAAGGUGGUAGGCUGAAAUCUUAGGUAAAUCCGGGGUUUCAAGGCCGAGAGCUGAUGACGAGUCGUCUUUUAGAUGACGAAGUGGUUGAUGCCAUGCUUCCAAGAAAAGCUUCUAAGCUUCAGGUAACCAGGAACCGUACCCCAAACCGACACAGGUGGUCGGGUAGAGAAUACCAAGGCGCUUGAGAGAACUCGGGUGAAGGAACUAGGCAAAAUGGCACCGUAACUUCGGGAGAAGGUGCGCCGGCUAGGGUGAAGGAUUUACUCCGUAAGCUCUGGCUGGUCGAAGAUACCAGGCCGCUGCGACUGUUUAUUAAAAACACAGCACUCUGCAAACACGAAAGUGGACGUAUAGGGUGUGACGCCUGCCCGGUGCCGGAAGGUUAAUUGAUGGGGUUAGCGCAAGCGAAGCUCUUGAUCGAAGCCCCGGUAAACGGCGGCCGUAACUAUAACGGUCCUAAGGUAGCGAAAUUCCUUGUCGGGUAAGUUCCGACCUGCACGAAUGGCGUAACGAUGGCGGCGCUGUCUCCACCCGAGACUCAGUGAAAUUGAAAUCGCUGUGAAGAUGCAGUGUAUCCGCGGCUAGACGGAAAGACCCCGUGAACCUUUACUGUAGCUUUGCACUGGACUUUGAGCCUGCUUGUGUAGGAUAGGUGGGAGGCUUUGAAGCGUGGACGCCAGUUCGCGUGGAGCCAUCCUUGAAAUACCACCCUGGCAUGCUUGAGGUUCUAACUCUGGUCCGUAAUCCGGAUCGAGGACAGUGUAUGGUGGGCAGUUUGACUGGGGCGGUCUCCUCCUAAAGAGUAACGGAGGAGUACGAAGGUGCGCUCAGACCGGUCGGAAAUCGGUCGCAGAGUAUAAAGGCAAAAGCGCGCUUGACUGCGAGACAGACACGUCGAGCAGGUACGAAAGUAGGUCUUAGUGAUCCGGUGGUUCUGUAUGGAAGGGCCAUCGCUCAACGGAUAAAAGGUACUCCGGGGAUAACAGGCUGAUACCGCCCAAGAGUUCAUAUCGACGGCGGUGUUUGGCACCUCGAUGUCGGCUCAUCACAUCCUGGGGCUGAAGCCGGUCCCAAGGGUAUGGCUGUUCGCCAUUUAAAGUGGUACGCGAGCUGGGUUUAGAACGUCGUGAGACAGUUCGGUCCCUAUCUGCCGUGGACGUUUGAGAUUUGAGAGGGGCUGCUCCUAGUACGAGAGGACCGGAGUGGACGAACCUCUGGUGUUCCGGUUGUCACGCCAGUGGCAUUGCCGGGUAGCUAUGUUCGGAAAAGAUAACCGCUGAAAGCAUCUAAGCGGGAAACUUGCCUCAAGAUGAGAUCUCACUGGGAACUUGAUUCCCCUGAAGGGCCGUCGAAGACUACGACGUUGAUAGGCUGGGUGUGUAAGCGUUGUGAGGCGUUGAGCUAACCAGUACUAAUUGCCCGUGAGGCUUGACCAUAUAACACCCAAACA